rnacentral:miRNA from 1 species
UUGGGAUUGAAUGUAGAAGAAU